rnacentral:rRNA from 1 species
CCUACGGGGGGCAGCAGUGAGGAAUAUUGGUCAAUGGACGAGAGUCUGAACCAGCCAAGUCGCGUGAAGGAUGACUGCCCUAUGGGUUGUAAACUUCUUUUAUAUGGGAAUAAAAUGUUCCACGUGUGGGAUUUUGUAUGUACCAUAUGAAUAAGGAUCGGCUAACUCCGUGCCAGCAGCCGCGGUCAUACGGAGGAUUCGAGCGUUAUCCGGAUUUAUUGGGGUUAAAGGGAGCGUAGGUGGAUUGUUAAGUCAGUUGUGAAAGUUUGCGGCUCAACCGUAAAAUUGCAGUUGAAACUGGCAGUCUUGAGUACAGUAGAGGUGGGCGGAAUUCGUGGUGUAGCGGUGAAAUGCUUAGAUAUCACGAAGAACUCCGAUUGCGAAGGCAGUUCACUGGACAGCAACUGACACUGAGGCUCGAAAGUGUGGGUAUCAAACAGGAUUAGAUACCCCUGUAGUC